rnacentral:tRNA from 1 species
AUAUAAACAUUGUAAUGCUUUUUAAAAAGUUAGAAGCUUUUAUUUAGAAUAUUUCUUU